rnacentral:lncRNA from 1 species
UGUUGAUGAUCUUGAUUCCGUCACUCCUUCCCACGUGGAUUCCAUCGGUGUUGGGACUCUCUUCAGGGGCUACGAUCCUGAUGUCUUCGAAUGUCAGGUUCUUUGCCCCGAUCACGUUAAUGUGGAAGUUCUUUGCAUCUAACGAGGUUAUGUCUCUUACCUUACCGUCAGUUAUGUAAUCAAACCGUAUGCUCUGUUCAACAAUGACAAAACAUCAACAAACUAACAAUGCUAUUUGCUAUUUAGCUGAGUUAUUAUAGAUAAAAGAUAGACAACAUACGAUAGGGAGUCUCUUGCACUGAGUUAAUGACGUCUUGUGGCAGUUAUUAGCCCUCCAUGAAGCGUUACCUUCACCGUCAAAGAUACCACCUCCGUUCAAUCUAAAGUUAGUAAUCCUGCGGAAAGCGACCCAAAAGUCCUUCCCGUUAACGUUCCCAUCAGCUCUCACAGUGCCUUGAAGAACAAAUAUUAUAGGAGCUUUGCAUGGACCCAUCAUCUCUAUUUCCCCAAGCUUGAAUUCACCUUUUGGGAUCAAAACGGUGCUCUUGUCCACGCACUGACAUGCCUCCUUGAAUAGUUUCGACAAUUCCUGCAUCCCAAAGAUCUUAAGAUUUCUUGGAGAACAAGAACACUAAUUGGUUAAUGGGAAGAUUAAUAAAGUAGCAGAAAAACUUACGCCGGUGAUAUCAGAACCUGGACGAGCAGUGAUUCUGAAUUCUCUAGCAUUUGCUGAUAAAGCUAACAAACAAAAAACAAAGAAUGCUGAUACUCCAAAAUGUACACCCAUUGCUGAGAUUUAUUCUAGUCACUAGUGAUUACAGAUUUUUUUAUGUUUUUUCUUUUUGUAAAUCACUAGGUUUUUUUUUUAAUAUAUAAAAAUUUAGUUUUCGUAUUUAUGUUUUGUUCCUUGAUUUGUCUGCCAUUAUAUAGUCUCUGAGAGGAGAGAGUUUUUAAAGUUGGGUUUCUUAUCCACCGUUCCUUUCACCUCUUCUUACCGAUAUUCUUGGAAACUUUUUAGUCGGAGUUUGACAUAGACAAACACUAAUAAUACCAUUGCUUAAAAAUAAAGCUUAUAUUACCUUAAUGCACAUCAAUUGGAGACAAAAAAAAUUUCAAAUAUCUAUAAAUUUAAAUUCAUUUAUUAAUUCAGGAAAAUAUACAUGUAUGCCCAAAAAUAUUUCCCCAAUUCUAUCGUUCGGCAUGUUUCUCGUUUAUGCUGCAUGUUAUGCACAUGGUGCACCCAGUCUUCAUUCAGCAGGAUUCAUGUCAAUACAGUUUUAUCUUUGUAGAUAUCUAAACCUUUUAAUUAAUUGUUUUAGUUUCGUUAGUUAAAAAAAAAAAUAACUAAAAAAUUCUUCUUGAAUGCCAAAGACACAUAAAUUAAUAAGUUUGGGUAUGAAGGAAGUAAUAGUGAAUUUAGUUUUGGCUAGGGAACAUGAGGAUAUGCAAGAAUAGCACUAUCUUUCUCUACCACUGUGAGAACAAACACUGGCUAUGAUGUAUGUCUUGUAGAAUUUUAUGAGAAUGCAUGGUGUGGUUUACAGUGAUCCGACUUAUAGAGGAUCGAAAUCUGAGCAAGAGUGUAACAUUUCGAGCUGUUAUAUAUGAUGUACGGAAGUGCUUAAGAAAAUUGAUUUGACUACCUACAUCACCAAAGUGCGCUUAUCUUUUCUGGUACACAUCCGUUUAGAACUUCGGAGUUAAUCGUAUUUGAACUGGAGUAAUGGAAUGAUAAGUGACCUAUCGAGAAGUGAUUCACGAUAGCGUGCGAGUGAGGCCAAAAAACAGGAAAAUGUCAUGUGGUGAUUGCAUGGAUCAGUAAACAAUAAUUUUGAGCCUUCGGAAAAUUAACGCACCGCUCGUUAAAUGGGAUAGGGCCCACGGGUCGAGUGAGCGGGCGUGAGUGACCCAUUAGCCGUGGGCGGUCGGAGCGUAACAAGUGGUGUCAGAACUGGUUAGACAUCUCGAUUCUGACCCGAGAGGCGUCUUGAGACAUGUCGUAGGACGCAACGAGGACGUUGCGUUCUUUGAGAAGGGUGAAUUGUAACAUUCCGAGUUAUGAUAUAUGGAAGAGCUUAAGAGAAUUAAUUUGGCUACAUAUGUCACUAAUGUGCGCUUAACUUUUAUGACACACAUAUGUUUAGAACUCUAGAGUUAAGCGUACUUGAACUGCAGUAGUAGAAUGAUAGGUGACCUAUCGGAAAGUGAUUCAUGAUAGCGUGCGAGGGAGGCCAAAGAACGGAGAAAAUUCAUGUGGUGAUUGCAGGAUCAGUAAACAAUAAUUUCGACCUUUCAAAAAAUUAACGCACCGUUCGUCAGAUGGGAUGAGGCCCACAGGCCGAAUGAGCGGGCUUGGAUGGCCCAUUAGUUGUGGAAGGUCGGAGCGUCACGAAUGAAUUACACAGAGACAAGUCGAGUUUAUGAAUAAUUUUGCACAAAUAUUUUUGAAAAAAAUAUCAUAUAAACUAUUCUGAUGUGGUUUUAUUUACAGUUUUAAUAUAUUGACGAUGCAUGAAUUGCUAUUUAGAACAUCUUUAUUCAUAGUACUAUGGAAAAAUUCUCAACAAAACAAUACUGAAAAUAUAGUUGAUAUAUUCAUGGGGUUCCCAAAAUCUUGAGAUAUGCAUGCAAUUGCCUCAAUUAUGAGUAUCUCAUUUUUGAAAACCACACAUAUACAUGUUAAUUAGAACUGAAGUCAAGACCUUGAACCCACCUAGUCCUAUAAAUUACUUGUUUAGAUUUAGUUUUAUAUGAUCCCAAAAUGAUUUUUUCUAACUAAGCUUAUUUGGACUUUAGAUUUUUGGUCUGAAAUCCAUUUGGAUUAAGACUAGCCCGAAAAAACUAAAUCUUUAUAUGUUUUAAUUUAUAUGUGAUUAUUUAAAUCUUGUCAAAUUUGAUUUGUCUAUAAUUUGAUUUUAAAGUUUAUGAAAAACACUUCUGUUAAAGAGGAAAAUUUUAAACAGAUUUUAUAUUCUAAGACAAAAAGUUGAAACCGAUUUUUAUGAAAAUUUGGAUGUUUUAAAACGGUAAAAUGAUAGAUAUAACAAUAUAAUUAAUAAUUUCGAAAACCCUUAUAGUUCUUUUAGAACUGUGUGAUCUUUCUUUUGCGGGCCGAACCAGGCUAAGUUUAAAUAAUAAUAAAUUUUAUAAGUUUUGGGUCGGGCUGCAGCGCACUAGCCCAAUUGACACCCACAACAUAUAAAGAUACUAUGUUUUUUUUAUUGUUUUGUUGAGAACUUUUCCUCCGUACUAGAGAUGGAAAUGUUCUUUUUUUUUUUUGUCGGGGAUUUAUUUAGAUAUUACAAUUAUGAGAAAGAUUACAAAGACGAUUCGAUUACCGAUAAUACUACCUGCCUUAUGAGGAUCUACGCCUAACUGUCUCAUUUGAGCCGUCCUAUGAAGAUCACGCCUGACCGGAUUUACUUGCACCAUGUUGAGAAACUCUUGUAAGCCUUUCUUCCGUAAUCGCAUAAUUGUUGAAUAAAUCGUUUGCUCCGGGAAUUGAAACCUGGAUUUCCUGUGCAAUCUGCAAGAAAUUGCAUAGUCUGGGAUUUGAACCCCAGACCUGAGUGUAGAAGCCUUUAAACCAUAACCACUAGACUACGGUGCUUCCACAGAUGGAAAUGUUCUUAGUACAUGGUUUUGACUUAGAGCAUCCACAGCGUUAAAAGACUAUAUUGAGUUCUUUAAAAUUGAAAAGUAAAACAAACAUGUGGAGGGAAAGUUUCUUUAAGAACAAGAAGAGUACGGUCGCAGAGAAACUUCUCUGAUUUUCUUUCUUACUUUACCUAUUUGUUAAAAUUUUUUAAUCUCUUGAAACUGAUUUGAGAUACUAGCACUGUGGAUGCCUUUAGAACACCUCUAAUGGUGAGUAUUAGAAUAGGUUAUAAGCAUUUAAGAAAAAAAAAACAAAAUAAAGAAAUUAGAAGAGAAAAGACCAAAAAUUCUUAUUUUAGAAUUUUUUAAAAAUUCUUAAUAUCUUUAAGAGACACAUGUUAUCAUGUGAUAGGAAAUUAAUGUUUUGUUUGGUUUAGAAAAAAAGAACAUGAAUGAAUAAUUAUAAUAGUAAUAUUUUGUUGUUUUUAGAAACAUGUAUGGUAUCUAUCCGUUGGAGUUGCUCUUAGAAUGAUAAUACUUGCAGGGUUUCUAUAAAAAAAAAUAUUAUAGCUAUUUAGUUUUUUUUAUACACGUUGAAACAUUGUCUAAAGGACAAAUUUUUUUUAAAAUACCAAACCGGUUAGUAAUUAAGAACUUUUGUGAUGUUUCUCUUUUCUAAAUUAUUAGUUUUCAUUUAUUUUUAUCAAAAACUCUUUUUCACUUCCACGUCGAGGUGCUCUUAUCUAGACUGAGACAAGCUGAACAACUUCUCUUGGCGAAUCCUAUUUACAUUUCCGUGGGGCGAAACUGUUGGGUUUUCCUCCAUUAACCAAAUCCAACUAAUAAGUGGAUAAGGAUGAUGAAUAAAAUCUAAUAAAGAUUAGAGAGUGUUUAUAGAAUUAGCUUGUUACCUUCACUAGUAUAAGUAAGAUGUUUUAUUUCUUUUUUUUUUCUGAAACACAAAUAAGAUGUUUUAAUAGCAUUUGUAUUUUGUAAUCUAUCCAAGAACAAACACUAAGAAAGCAAAUCUAAGCGAGAAACAUUUUUUUGAGAGUGAUCACAAAAAGAGUUUUUUUUUACUAAAUUCUCUUUCCUAAAAGCACUCGCAAUGAGAAUCUUUAAAGAAGAGUCGUUAAUAAAAAAAUAAUUAAAUAAUCAGUAGAGUCCACCAAAAGCUAAUGAUUUAAAAUUCUUAAAUAAAGACUAUUUUUUAGUGAUUCUUUGCACUAUUUGCGGGUCCCCAUGACAUGUGCUGACCCACGAUUGGUUGAUAUUAUUAUUUUUUUAAUCUAAAAAAAAAGAAAAAAUAAUACUUAAAAAAUCAAAAUAUACUGUUUCUAAGUACUCUCUUUGGAUAACACCAUUGCGGGUGCUCUAAAUAGAAACGUCUUUCUAUAAUUUGAAGUUGUCUCCUCCCAUAUCAAACUUGUGAAAGACAUUCGGCUAGCUUUCCCAACAGAAACCUCUUCACCACCUUUCCCUAGCUAAAUGGAGUAUCCUGAUCCAUCGAGUUUUGGCUCACAUGGUAUGAUUGAUUAGAUGAUAUUGUUGAGGUCUAGGGACCAGGUUUUAACAGAAGUCGGUCAUGUUUUCUUAUUCGUAUGACUAGAAAAUCAAAUCACUGUUCAUUAGACCUUCAUGUUGUAUAACAUCUGCAAAAUAAAUCUUUUUAAUGACUAGGAAGUUUUGAACACGAAAACACGCAGAAUAAUUCUUUUUACAGCGCAGAUCUCUCCCAAAAAAAUAACUAUAUAAAUUCUAGUUGACAACAAAAAUCUUGUGCAAAUGUAAUAUGCAUGCAUACUCAAUUUUAUUAUUUCAGGUGUUUGAUUUCAAACAUCGAUCUGAUAAUGGGAUUUGGAUGUAACCAAAAGGAACAAAAGGCAAACUUAAAUCCGUACCAGAUCAUCAUAGAGCAUCCAUGCAUCUUCCCAUUUACUAUACUUACUAGGUGUUUUACCCGCGAUGCGGGCUUAAACAUUUUCAUAAAUUUUUGAAAAGUUCUUUGUAUACUAUUCUAGUUAUAUGUGUUUUCCAAAAAGAAUUCUUGCGAUCAAUUUAGUAUCAUCUAUGCAUUGUCUACUCUCGAAUAUAUAAAUAUAUAUAUUUCUGAACAAUUAAAUAUUAAAAUAUUUUAGUGGUAUAAUUUAAACUUGGGUCUCUAGUCAAAAAACAAAACUUGUUCCAAUUUAUGUAAAGAAUAUUAUUUUUUGAAUGAGCAAAGAUUUAAGGAUAGUUAUUUUUUAAGAACAUUAACUUUUAUUUCUGAACAAUUAAAUAUUAAAAUAUUUUAGUGUUAUAAUUUAAACUUGGGUCUCUAGUCAAAAAAACAAAACUUGUUUCCAAUUUAUGUAAAGAAUAUUUUUUUUUUUUGUGAAUGAGCAAAUAUUUAAGGAUGGCUAUUAGCAAAUAAAUGUUUGAGAACUUUAAUUUUUUUUUUUUGAGAUUCUACUGCUAUAAUAGUUUAAGGGUUUUUGAAAUAUUACUAAUUAAUUGUUCUUGAUUCGAAGAUUUUCAAAUUUCAUCAAAAUUCUUUAUUUAUUUAUGAUAAUAGAUUUUCAUUCAAUUUUAACAAAAUUAACUUUAUUAAAAUAUAAUUUCCUUUUUUAUUCAUAAGAUACAACUUUAAAAAUAUUUUGACAAUUAAAAUAAUGGAUGUAAGAUUUAAAAUCCGCUAUGUAAUUUUAUUUGAAUAUCACAACAACAAUUUACAUAGCGGUAGAGUUUAGGUCUUUUAGCUUAAGUUUUAAGAUUAUUUUAGUGUUUAGGGUUGUAGAGUUUAGCGUUAGAUGAGAUUUAUGGUUAGGUUUAUGUAGGGUUUUUAGGAUUAGGUUUAGGCAGGGUUUAGGGUUAGCAGGGUUUAGGGUUAGGUACGGUUUUUAGGGUUAGGCAGGGUUUAGGGUUAGGAAAGGUUUAGGGUUAGAAAGGUUUAGGGUUAGGUAGGGUUAGGGUUAAAAAGGGUUUAGGGUAGGUAGAGUUUAGGGUUAGUAGGGUUCUGGUUAGGUAGGGCUUAGGGUUAGGUAGGGUUUAGGGUUGGUAGGGUUAGGNNNNNNNNNNNNNNNNNNNNNNNNNNNNNNNNNNNNNNNNNNNNNNNNNNNNNNNNNNNNNNNNNNNNNNNNNNNNNNNNNNNNNNNNNNNNNNNNNNNNUUACUAUUCUUCAUAAUAAUCAAUUAUCUAAUCAAAAUCAAUUAAAAUUUCGUUUUUAUUUUUUAAUUUAUUUAUACAUUUUAUUCAUUAAGGGUUAUAAACGAUAUUAACCACUCUAACUUUCAACGUGAGAGUUUCAUUGCAAAAAUUUACUUCGCAAAUAGUAGUAUAGAUUGCAGUGAAAUCUUAGUUUCUCAUUGCUAUCUUAGAUUUUUUACAAAAACGACGCAUUUUAUACAAUCAAUCAAUAAAGCUAGCAAAAAAUGCAAAAUUUGGGGGCCAAAGCGGCAAAAUAAACAGUUUUUUUUUUACAAAGAAUCAAAGGAAAUAACAUACACUAGGGUGUACAUUUAGAGUAUAUUUUAUAUAUACACUCCGAGCUUCUAGUGGCCUGGUAGCUUCGUCACUGGGCUGCUACAAGCUUUAGGGCACUGUUUCCCCACCAACUUCGGAGAUACGUUGGAGCACUGGAACGUUGCUGGACCGUCUUUUCCAUUAUAUGUAAUAUCAAUGUCGCCGAUCUCCACGUUCUUACACGGAAAUCCCUUGCACAAUAGCUUCACUGCGUCUUUGUUCCCUGAUGAUCCUUUGAUAUUCUUGAACUUUAUGUCCACCAGCUUGAUGGAUGAUGGUUUCUACAAACAAAUAAAACAAUUGAAAAUGAUAAUCAUGGACUAUGAUCGUUAAGAUUUUCUUGAAAAGUACUUUUCUGUACGUACAUUCUUGUUGCAUCGGUUCCAGGGGCAGUACUCUGGUCGAUGAGGAUAGGGUUGCUAACAUUGUGGAGAAUAAUAUUCUCGAAAUGGAUACCAGAGGCGGUCGUGGAGCAAGCUGCAGAGGGCCAUGUCUUGAUUCUCACACCAUUGUCAGUAUUUCUGAGGGUGCAGUUCACGACCUUGACGCCAGUGACGUCUUCCUCGUGCCCGUAUAAUCCGAGGCUUCCAAUACUGAUUCCGUGUCCCGGACCGCAUGAAACUCUUUCGACAAGAAGGUUUUUCAUCCCGUCCCCAACAGAGAUACAGUCAUCUCCGGUUUUGAUGUUGGUGUUGAUGAUCUUGAUUCCGUCACUCCUUCCCACGUGGAUUCCAUCGGUGUUGGGACUCUCUUCAGGGGCUACGAUCCUGAUGUCUUCGAAUGUCAGGUUCUUUGCCCCGAUCACGUUAAUGUGGAAGUUCUUUGCAUCUAACGAGGUUAUGUCUCUUACCUUACCGUCAGUUAUGUAAUCAAACCGUAUGCU